rfam:Angiostrongylus costaricensis strain Costa Rica genome assembly, scaffold: ACOC_contig0002661
GGCGGUAUAGCUCAGGGGUGAAGCGCUCGCUUCGCAUGCGAGAAGUAUGUUGUUCGAUUCCCCAUAACUCCA